AGAUGCUCGGUAAUGUGGUGGCUGGAGGAGGGACACACUGGAGGGGUGGGGUGGGGGGGUGGAUGAGCAGGGCUGGGCGGGACGGUGAACAGCCACAGCGAGAGCAGCAUCUCCACUCUGCCGGCCUGUCACCCGAGCACCGCACAGGACCUGAUCACAAGCCCAAAAAGUGAUGGAAGAGUCAGCCAAAGUGAAGGGAGCGUCUCCAAGGACAAAGCCUCCACUCCCUGUGAAAACAAGUGUUUACUAAUGUUAUUUUUAACGUUCAUUUAGGAGGUGGGUGAUAAAAGGAAUACAAAGUUCAAACUCUUGGGGACCAGACGGGAGACACACAAGGAGACAUGGAUCACAGCCAUUACAUAAGACUGGACUCCCUCUUGUGUUAACUCUGGCCUCAGGGAGUGUUUACUUUUUGAGGCAAGAAGCUGCAAAAUUCAGGAAAGUCGUCACGGUUGGGAGCGCACGUCAGACCCGCGUUUGAAGUCUGAUGUGGCCACUCCGGACGCCACUGCCCAAUCAAGCAUGGAGCAUGAUCUGAGGAUGGGUCUGUCGUUUUGGGCCAUUGCAGCCAUUGUUUGUAACUCAGUGGUUGGCGUCCUCAUCCUCGUCUUGUUUGUGAUCCUCUAUAAAGCCUGCAAGGUGCCUUCCCACCAAGAUAAAGUGCCAGCUUUCAUCCCGAGGCUGGAUCAGAAGAAGGCUGAACAGAAGCACAUGCUGGCUGCAGCUUGAUUAAGAAUUGAUCAUGUGAACCUUAUGUUUUGGCAAAAUCUGACUAAGCUAAUCUACUGGAAUUGAAGAAUUUGGAGGGAAAGCUGAGCGAGCACCUGCUUUGAAUAGUUAUUAUUAUGUUAACACCUGUGCAGUGCUUGGGGGAGUUCUGGAGACAGACGAAAACGUGUAAAAAUGAUGAAGACAUCUUGAUAAACUCGACAACACAGAGGCACUGCAAAUACAACCACAAACCAGUAAACUAAGUGCAUCAAGAUUUGUAGCAAGACCAACCACAACAACCAUGCCCAAUCCUCUUAUCUCUGCUGUGCGUCGCUGGGACUGUCCAUCUGUCAGUCUCUUUGGCUCGCAGCACAUGAUCUCCUCCCCUGCUCCACACUUUUUCAUCCCUUCAUGUUUGACAGCUGGCUUUUUAUGAGGGGGAAACAAAGAGUUUAAGUAAGUGGGAUGCAGAAGUCCUAGUGGGGAAAGCUUCCGUUUAGUCACUGCUAAAUGAUGAAAAAUUGAAACGUUAACUUCAAAGCUGGUGAACAGUUAGCAUUAUUUUUUGCUCUUACCAGUGAUUCCACUAAGUACAGCAAGAACACAGCAGGCUGGAAGAAGCAGGAGUCCAAAUUAAGACAGAUGGAGAUAGUAAUUUUUUUUAAGUGCAAGUGAUAAUAAAAGAAAAAAAGAAGAUAAACUUUAAUGUAUUGUUGACACAGAAGGGAACACCCAUUCUGCUCCAAAUACAUUCAAAAAAUACAACUUCAAUAUUUUUGGUGUGCCUCUGUUUUAUCCUUUCACCUUAAAUAAAGGCCAAAUUAUGGAUCUAUAAUUAAAUAACUGGUAAAAAAAAAUAUCUGUCGUCACACUUCCAAGUGCUUUUUGUGUUUUUUGUAGUGAAAUUUCUGCUGUGUUUACAAAAAAAGAGCAAAACAUGAAGUGAAAUAUGUCUUUGCUAUGUGAGGCAGAAGCUAACUUGUAAACCAUAAAGGGCAAUGUGUUUGAGUUUUUAAUUACCAAAGAAGUAUAUGUGUAGAAAUCUUGUUUCAGUAACAGUUCCUGUCUGUUCAUGACUUUAUCUUUGGAGCAGCUACUGCUUUUUACCUAAAGCCUGGUUGCAUCAUUGUGCACAGCCAUAAUGAAGUAAUGAACAAACCAGAUUUGUUUAUAUUGUUAGUUAAAUUAUUAUUAUUUUUUGUAAAAAAGCUGGUCAUUUUGAAUAUGUGACUUUCCCUUUUCAUAUGAGCUGAAUUAAGAGACUCUAACAGACCAAAUAGCAACUGUUUCCAGCAGUUCUUCAUUUGCAUUGUUGUUCUGCUUUGUCUUGGCACAGUUUUUACUAGUAAAGUCAGGCAAUAAACUCGUUACUAAUGACGUCCGAUGUUAAUGUUGCCCUUUCUGUGUGUGUUGAGCUAAUCAAUACCGGGCACACUGACUGCUGCUGCUGUGACCCACUUCCUGUUUGUUAAUCUGCCACAAGCGCUGUAAUCCUUAUCUUGUAACUAGAUUCCAACAUGAGUAUGUUGUAACAACCGUAGUGUAAUCUUCCCAGGACUGUGCUGACUUUCUCCAGUAUGUGGAAAAAGGUAGUUCUGCAUUACUUUUAUUUGAUAUUUUGAAAGAGAAAGGCAAAAAGUGCAGCAAAAAUAAAACUUUAUCAGUUUCUUUACACUUGUUGGUGAAACAUUUA